AAUCAACGCUGGCGGCGUGCCUAACACAUGCAAGUCGAACGAGAAAGUGGAGCAAUCCAUGAGUAAAGUGGCGACCGGGUGAGUAACACGUGACUAACCUACCUCCGAGUGGGGAAUAAC
rnacentral:rRNA from 1 species